AGAGUUUGAUCAUGGCUCAGAACGAACGCUGGCGGCAGGCUUAACACAUGCAAGUCGAACGCAUCCUUCGGGGUGAGUGGCAGACGGGUGAGUAACGCGUGGGAACGUGCCCUUCAGUUCGGGAUAACCCAGGGAAACUUGGGCUAAUACCGGAUACGUGCGAGAGCAGAAAGAUUUAUCGCUGAAGGAUCGGCCCGCGUCUGAUUAGCUAGUUGGUGAGGUAAUGGCUCACCAAGGCGACGAUCAGUAGCUGGUCUGAGAGGAUGAUCAGCCACAUUGGGACUGAGACACGGCCCAAACUCCUACGGGAGGCAGCAGUGGGGAAUAUUGGACAAUGGGCGCAAGCCUGAUCCAGCCAUGCCGCGUGAGUGAUGAAGGCCUUAGGGUUGUAAAGCUCUUUCGUCCGGGACGAUAAUGACGGUACCGGAAGAAGAAGCCCCGGCUAACUUCGUGCCAGCAGCCGCGGUAAUACGAAGGGGGCUAGCGUUGUUCGGAAUCACUGGGCGUAAAGGGCGCGUAGGCGGCUUUAUAAGUCGGGGGUGAAAGCCUGUGGCUCAACCACAGAAUUGCCUUCGAUACUGUAUGGCUUGAGACCGGAAGAGGUAAGUGGAACUGCGAGUGUAGAGGUGAAAUUCGUAGAUAUUCGCAAGAACACCAGUGGCGAAGGCGGCUUACUGGUCCGGUUCUGACGCUGAGGCGCGAAAGCGUGGGGAGCAAACAGGAUUAGAUACCCUAGUAGUCC
rnacentral:rRNA from 1 species